CGUUUUCCCACAAUGCACAGCGACAGACCAUAUCUUAUGUGUACGUCACUUCCGCUCCUUCCUUCUUGCCUGAGCUCGGUGUAUCACACAUCUUGCACGUGUCGUCGUGCAGCUGAAUUCGAGAUGGUUUCCCAGUGGAAAGAAGGCCGAGCAGUAGACGUGGGAUGAACGAAGCAAGCGACUUGGUGUCCUUGCAAUUAGCAGAUGACCAUGUCAUAUCAGCACUGACCCCAUGGUAACUGAAGUGAUAUGGGAAGCAGUAGCUGGGCUAUGGACAGAUGCUAUGAGUCCAGACUGACUUGAGUAACUUGGGGCCCUGGCGAUGACUGGAGACGUGUACCCUCCUCAAGAUGCGACUGGGUUUCAGCAUUGGAGUCAUGCUUAAAUGUUUAAAGAGAAAAAUGUGAUUGAUAGCCAAUGAAAAUUGUUACUUUGCAGAGUUUUACAGCAACAAUACAAAGUCUUAUACCAGUUUACUGGUGAAAAGACAAUUUGUCAAGGAAAAGAGAGAUUGUGGCUUUCACAGAGCAACCCCAAAAAACUGAAAGGCUAUUUUUUUAGUAUGCCUGUCAUCCAUAUCACCAUUAAAUUCUCGUCAGUAACAGAUUUAUAAAGUAUGGUGAUUGGUGCUGUGGUAUUAACCUGCAUACCAGUCAGAACUGUUGGAUUCUUGUGAAACGUUGUUUUUGCUUUAAUCAGUUUGGUGGUGCGAGAUGGUUGAAUUGUAGAGGAAAGGAUGUCAUUGUACUGUCUUUGCGAGAUUGGAAAAUGUUAUAAUAUAGCUGAUUUCUGUUAAACAGAAAACAAACACUAUUUGCUUGACUAGUCUUUUUGUUCCAAGCCAAGCUUAUUCUCCAGAUAUCAACCUCCGACAUGGCGGACAAAUGCCGGUUAUGUGAUUAAAUAUCUAUAUAAAGUGUUAGUGCUUAAAAUGGAUCUGUUUUCUUAAUAAACUGACAUUGCAUCAUA